ensembl:lncRNA
UUGAAAUAGUUCCUGAAGCUUUCAGAUGUGUCAGAUCUCUCAGGAAAGUCCUUAACAUUCACUUUAACGCCUGACUCUAACCAUAGAAGAGCUCGAGUCAAAAGGAAAGUGAAAUGAAGCGUGUCCUGACAUGACUCAGUCUCCUCAGUUUCAUCUUGUACCUCCAGCUGUCUCCUCAGCUUGUAUUAAUGACUGCCCCUCCCACUGGACGUCAGCACUGAAGGUACGGGGGUUUGUACCCCUGUGCUUUGGACAGCGGUUCGCCUCUGUGCUCAACAGUGAUGAAAUGUUCCAGAUCAAGUAUGCGAUGAACCCAGAGGGAGGACGUUUCAUAGAAGAACAUCUGGGAGGUCGCUCUCCAACAAAUCCUAACAUCAAGGAAUGUUAUGUCGUGGUUAUGUCCAUCUUUUAUAUACAGUCUUCAGAAAAAUGCAGCACAAAGCACUGGCUACACAUUAAACUCCUUCUGACCUCCAUACAAACCUUUCUGUUUCAAAAAUAACAGAACAAAUUAAAAACUGUUGCUAAGAGCAUUUGGGAUUUUAUUUUGAAGGCUAAACAGCUGUAACUUCCUUGAUGGCACAGGAGGAAACGUCCUCUUUCCUUAUGCUCUUCUUUCUCACAUCCCAACCCUGAUCCUGAACCGGGUUCUUAACUUCCUGUUAAAAGGGAGUUUUUCCUUCCUGCUGUCGCCGCGUGUUGCUUCACAGGGGUCAUCCCUCUAACACUGCAGGCUGUUGGCUGCACAUACACCCGCUCGCACACUUUCACUCAGAGGCCCGACGAGCCGAGGGUCUGAGUCCGUGCGCCCUCGCUGGCACUUUGUGUUUCUGCAGGUGAUCGCUGACGUGCUGUAACUUAACAGACUAAUUCUGGAUCCGCUGUGAAGCAGCUGUGGGACAGUUUGUCACUGGCUGAGAAACAGCAUUCACUGCAGGAAUCCACACUGAAUGUGAGGACGAGCACAUCUAGAUGUUCCCUUUAUCUGCCUCCAAAAUAAAAACCGUGCAGAGCAGAAGAAACAAAUGUUGGUGUAAUCAGAGGACAUGCAACAGGAGUUUACAGAAAAGCAGAACAGGAGAACCACAGCGGUGCAUGUGCUGCUUCUGGCCACGGCUCAUUUACAGACCUGACCCUGGUGGCAAAGUUCCUGAUCUGUAAAGAGGAGCGGCCAAUCUCCAAACACAUCAGCCGCCGAUACCAGAGACACGUUAAACCAUGUACAGUACAGAGUGAAGGGAGACAGCGUUCCUCCGAGACCCUGGUGCUACAUAUGACAUGUAACAGACAAACACAGGACAAAGUGCCAUGUGCAAAAAAUUGCACAAAUAAACAAGACAGAACAGGACGAUACACACAAGCAGUGUUGGGCGUGGACUGCAACUGUCCCAGCUGACAGCGAGCCUCCACUCCAACCCCACAUCCACGAGGUUUGCAGAGAGGAACACGCACUCAGCGAAGGAGAUUUAAGUCUUCGUGGCCUCGUUUUUAUCUUUGUACUGCUUCCAGUUUUGUACUCUGUGUGUCACAUGUGGCAUCCUGGUCAGUAAAUGAAUAUAUGAUCAAUAAAAACAAAAUAAAC